GACGAACGCUGGCGGCGUGCUUAAUACAUGCAAGUCAACUGAACUUAAGAUAGCAAUAUUUUAAGGGAGGUGGCGCACGGGUGAGUAACACGUAGGUAAUCUGCCUUUAGGUCUGACACAACCCCGAGAAAUCGGGGGCUAAUAUCAGAUGAUGCAGCGGCUCGACAUCGAGACAGUUGUUAAACCUUCGGGGCCUAAAGAUGAGCCUGCGUCUGAUUAGGUAGUUGGCGGAGUAAAGCCACCAAGCCUGCGAUCAGUAGCUGGUCUGAGAGGAUGAUCAGCCACACUGGAACUGAGACACGGUCCAGACUCCUACGGGAGGCAGCAGUAAGGAAUAUUGCUCAAUGGCCGAAAGGCUGAAGCAGCAACGCCGCGUGGAGGAUGAAAUACUUUUGUAUGUAAACUCCUGUAAGAAGGGAAAAAUAUUCCGAUUUAUCGGGAUUGAUUGUACCUUCAGAGUAAGCCCCGGCUAACUACGUG
rnacentral:rRNA from 1 species